rfam:Aspergillus oryzae strain BCC7051 OAory_C03, whole genome shotgun sequence.
GGCACUUUGGCGGAGUGGUUAACGCGAUGCCCUGCUAUACAGUAUCUGUAUAUCGGUCUAGGCAUUCCCUUCGGGGGCGUGAGUUCGAAUCUCACAGGUGUCG